AAAAUGCGAUACGUAAUGCGAAUUGCAGAAUUCAGUGAAUCAUCGAAUCUUUGAACGCACAUUGCGCCUCCUGGUAUUCCGGGAGGCAUGCCUGUUCGAGCGUCAUCAAAAACCUCAGUCUCUGAUUUUAUCAUUGAUUGGUCCUGCAUCGGAUGCCUGUGCAUCCCCUGCGAAAUCCAAUGGCGAAGAGCCACGCAUCCAGAGCGUAGUAUUAAUAUCUC
rnacentral:misc_RNA from 1 species